rnacentral:lncRNA from 1 species
AGAGGUUCAACAUGCAAUGGGUUAUGUGCAGUCUAAGACAAAAGAAGCAGGAUCAUUCAUCUGAAAUGAGAUAACAUGUAAUCAGAGGCAGUUAAAUACAGCUGUAAUAAAAGUAGAGUGCCAAGACAAGUUUAACAUGGAACGAGUUAUCUCGAGGGUAACACAAAACAAGCAGCAUCGUUCAUCUGGAACGGUGAACAAAAUAACAGGCCAACGGGAUUAAGGGGGCAGUGGCCGUGCAGGUCUAAGAUAAUUUGGCUCUGUUAGGUGAAUUGGCAUCUUCAAGCGGCGAUGCAAAUGAACAGUCACCUUCUGACUCUUCAAAUCUUUUAGCAAGGCAUGAUUUAACUCUUGAAGAAGAACCAAAUAUUGUUUACUGCUAUAUAAAAAAAGGGUAACACGGAUUAUUUAGAUUAUAAUGAACUGUGAUAUGUAAUGUGAAAGGUGGAAUGCACAAAUUUAGUAAUAGGACCUGAAGCUAUUGAAUCACUGUUUGCAACUUCGUUAUAGGUUAACACAUGAUCAGGCCUUUCUUGGAUAUCUAGCAAUUGAGCUUCCAGUUGGUCAGUACUUUCACAAUAAUAUAUAACUGUGUAAUGUUGCUUUGCAUCAGCCAGCUGAGACUGAACCGGUCUAAUAUGAGCCAGAAAAAUCUUCUAUUUUAGUUCAGCAUGAAUCUUUUCUAAGGGAAGU